ACCCCUGUGAGGAUGCCCUCAAAUUUUCCUCGCCCGAAAACGAGGAGCCGGUAUCAGGCACGCACAAUAUGCAGCCCAAGACGCCUUGCUCAGCCACACCCCCAAGGGAUCUCAGCAGUGAUAGACAUUAAGCAAUGAGCGAAAGCUCGACUUAGUUACGGUUAAGCAGGGCCGGUUAAUCUCGUGCCAGCCACCGCGGUUAUACGGGUAGGCCCGAGUUGACAGACUUCGGCGUAAAGAGUGGUUACGGACCAAUACUACUAAAGUUAAACACCCCCCUCGCUGUAAUACGCGUCCGGGGACCGGAGACUCCACUACGAAAGUGACUUUAACACCCUUCCCGAACCCACUUAAGCCAGGGAACAAACUGGGAUUAGAUACCCCACUAUGCCUGGCCGUAAACUUUGAUUUGUUAUAUACAUGAACCAUCCGCCCGGGAACUACAAGCGCCAGCUUCAAACCCAAAGGACUUGGCGGUGCUUCAGACCCACCUAGAGGAGCCUGUUCUAGAACCGAUAAUCCCCGUUCAACCUCACCAUCCCUGGCUAUUCCC
rnacentral:rRNA from 1 species